rnacentral:rRNA from 1 species
UAGGGAAUCUUCGGCAAUGGACGAAAGUCUGACCGAGCAACGCCGCGUGAGUGAAGAAGGUUUUCGGAUCGUAAAACUCUGUUGUUAGAGAAGAACAAGGACGUUAGUAACUGAACGUCCCCUGACGGUAUCUAACCAGAAAGCCACGGCUAACUACGUGCCAGCAGCCGCGGUAAUACGUAGGUGGCAAGCGUUGUCCGGAUUUAUUGGGCGUAAAGCGAGCGCAGGCGGUUUCUUAAGUCUGAUGUGAAAGCCCCCGGCUCAACCGGGGAGGGUCAUUGGAAACUGGGAGACUUGAGUGCAGAAGAGGAGAGUGGAAUUCCAUAUGUAGCGGUGAAAUGCGUAGAUAUAUGGAGGAACACCAGUGGCGAAGGCGGCUCUCUGGUCUGUAACUGACGCUGAGGCUCGAAAGAGUGGGGAGCAAACAGG